CUACCCCCCCCCCCCCCCCUCCGCUGACGGUGGCCAGAACGAGGUGGGUUCAACCGGCAGAGGCCCGGGCGAGAUCGCGUGCGAGUGGACGGAGCAGGCGCUCGUGGUCGUGGUGAACCAUGGGCGCAGUCGGAGCAGAGAGUCGGGGCGUAGGAGAUGAGGAGAACGGCGUAGGCUUCAUGAUGGAAGGAGAUACGGCGGCGGACAAGGAGGAGGUCGGGGGUUACACAGAGGUACAGGUGGAUGUCAGCAACCUGCCCCCUACGACGUCGAUGGUACUUUGACGUUAGAAGGGAUACUUGCCCCUUUGGCGGAUGAUGUUUUUACAAGCAUGCCUACACCGAUGGGCAUUUGGAGGAGCCGGCAACGGUGGCAGUGCUUCAUUUUCCUGCCGACAAUGGAAGUAUGGACCAGCAAGAAAUAUCGAGUUGAAAAUUCCGUUCGAACAUGCAGAUUGGCAUACUUGCUGAGAAGGUUACAACUGUAGAAGGAAGCAGUUGAGAAGAGAAGCACGUAGGGGAUGAUGUCGAUCUUGCACAUUCAGCUUUAUGUAAAUGCUUCUUCGUGUACCAUAUAUGGCAGUUUGGUAAAAAGAAAAAGAAAACAACGGAGCAAAUUAAAAUAUAAUAUGUUUAUCAAAAAGGCAGAAGGUAAUCGAUGAGCAAACAUAUUUACAUUCUAAUAUUUUUUAUUUUCUUUUCUUGAUAUGUUAUUUCCUUUGCUGAUCCUUCUCUUCUUCAUAUGAACAGCCCCCAGCUAGAUUGACGAGAAAGUUUAUUUUGCACAUGGUCUUUUCUGGUUUUGUCCUUGUAGCAAGAAGUACAUUUUUAUAACAAUAUCAGCUUUGCUCUGGUGUGUGCAAUGAUUUCAUUCAGAUACAGACCUUUUGGAAAUUGUGGUUUUCUUUUGUAUUUUGGUCCUAAUAUGGAAUGUUCUGUUGCUGGAUUGAAUUACUCUCUCAGCAUUUUUAUUUUGACAUAUUAUAAUGCUCAGUUUGUUUACAGGCUAUUGAAUACUGUCGGAGGAAGGAAUCAGUGCUGAGGUGAUCAACCUUCGAUCAGUUAGGCCACUGGAUAGAGCUGCGAUAAAAGCAUAUGUUACGAAAAUAAAUAGGUUGGUGAUUCUUGAAGAAGGCUCCCCCCAACAUCGUGUUGGUGCUGAGAUAUGGUUUUCUCUCUCUCUCUCUCUCCACACACAUCAUGUCAGGUUUGAGCAGGCCAACCCUCUUCCAAUUAUUCAUUCGAAUUAUUGUACAGAAUCUACAAUUAUAAGAAAGAAGAAUUUGAUAAAUUAGAGAGAGAUAUGCUUUCAUAAAUUGCUCACCCCUGAAGGUUACAAAUUCAAGUGUUGGGUUCGAAGGAUGAAGCAAAUCCCAAAUCACAUGUUAAUAUAUCUUGAUGCACAUUUGUAUUUACUUUGCUUCAGGUUCACAUGCAGUGACGGAGAUUUCAUCGGCUCGCCUCCAUUUUCUUGGUGAACCCACAUUUCCCUCUAAGGUACAUUCUGAAGGAGAAGAUUGCUGGUCGAGAAGGCCAUUUAUCUGAUAUUAGUUUAUUGGAGAAAUUGCCCAUGAUGUAUUUUCAGUACAUUAGGAUUUUUUGUAGUCGCAUGGUUCUGAUAGGAAGAUACCGUUGCUACCAGGUCAACAAUCUCCCCUUCAAUAAUAUUUGAUUUACAUUUUGUAUGCCAUUCAUCGAAUCAAUGUGGAUUACAAUGACCA